ACGCACGCUGGCGGCGUGCUUAACACAUGCAAGUCGAACGGAAAGGCCCUGCUUUUGUGGGGUGCUCGAGUGGCGAACGGGUGAGUAACACGUGAGUAACCUGCCCUUGACUUUGGGAUAACUUCAGGAAACUGGGGCUAAUACCGGAUAGGAGCUCCUGCUGCAUGGUGGGGGUUGGAAAGUUUCGGCGGUUGGGGAUGGACUCGCGGCUUAUCAGCUUGUUGGUGGGGUAGUGGCUUACCAAGGCGUUGACGGGUAGCCGGCCUGAGAGGGUGACCGGCCACAUUGGGACUGAGAUACGGCCCAGACUCCUACGGGAGGCAGCAGUGGGGAAUAUUGCACAAUGGGCGGAAGCCUGAUGCAGCAACGCCGCGUGCGGGAUGACGGCCUUCGGGUUGUAAACCGCUUUCGCCUGUGACGAAGCGUGAGUGACGGUAAUGGGUAAAGAAGCACCGGCUAACUACGUG
rnacentral:rRNA from 1 species